rnacentral:rRNA from 1 species
GGGGAGAAGGAACUCGGCAAAUUGACACCGUAACUUCGGAAGAAGGUGUGCCCUAGUAGUGUGAAGUGAACAACGGAGCAUGAAUGGGUUGCAAAAAAUCGGUGGCUGCGACUGUUUAUUAAAAACACAGCACUCUGCAAACACGAAAGUGGACGUAUAGGGUGUGACGCCUGCCCGGUGCUGGAAGAUUAAAUGAUGGGGUGCAAGCUCUUGAUUGAAGUCCCAGUAAACGGCGGCCGUAACGAUAACGGUCCUAAGGUAGCGAAAUUCCUUGUCGGGUAAGUUCCGACCUGCACGAAUGGCGUAACGAUGGCCACACUGUCUCCUCCCGAGACUCAGCGAAGUUGAAAUGUUUGUGAUGAUGCAAUCUCCCCGCGGAAAGACGGAAAGACCCCAUGAACCUUUACUGUAGCUUUGUAUUGGACUUUGAACAGAUCUGUGUAGGAUAGGUGGGAGGCUUUGAAGCAGGGUCGCUAGAUCUUGUGGAGCCAACGUUGAAAUACCACCCUGGUGUGUUUGAGGUUCUAACCUAGGUCCAUUAUCUGGAUCGGGGACAGUGCAUGGUAGGCAGUUUGACUGGGGCGGUCUCCUCCCAAAGCGUAACGGAGGAGUUCGAAGGUACGCUAGUUACGGUCGGACAUCGUGACGAUAGUGCAAUGGCAUAAGCGUGCUUAACUGCGAGACUGACAAGUCGAGCAGAUGCGAAAGCAGCACAUAGUGAUCCGGUGGUUCUGUAUGGAAGGGCCAUCGCUCAACGGAUAAAAGGUACUCUGGGGAUAACAGGCUGAUACCGCCCAAGAGUUCAUAUCGACGGCGGUGUUUGGCACCUCGAUGUCGGCUCAUCUCAUCCUGGGGCUGUAGCCGGUCCCAAGGGUAUGGCUGUUCGCCAUUUAAAGAGGUACGUGAGCUGGGUUUAAAACGUCGUGAGACAGUUUGGUCCCUAUCUUCCGUGGGCGCUGCAGAUUUGAGGAAGCCUGCUCCUAGUACGAGAGGACCGGAGUGGACGCACCUCUGGUGUAUCGGUUGCCACGCCAGUGGCAUUGCCGAGUAGCUAUGUGCGGAAGAGAUAACCGCUGAAAGCAUCUAAGCGGGAAACUCGUUCCAGGAUGAGAUCUGCCGGGGCCUUGAGCCCCCUAAAGAGUCGUUCAAGACCAGGACGUUGAUAGGUCAGGUGUGGAAGCGCAGUAACGCGUUAAGCUAACUGAUACUAAUUGCUCGUGCGGCUUGACCCU